ACAACAAUGAAACCUUCUAUGAGUGCCUCGCUCCUAACUGCUUACUCGAGGUCUGAAUCAAGUACAUCUAAUCUAGUGUACCUUAAUCUCACAUCUAAUUAAGAAUGUCUAAUUUCCUGAAUAGUCAGUUUCAGUACCCAAAACUAACUAUCAAUUAUUUCUUAACUAUCAUAACCUUUCUAAUCUUGUCGGUAAUGAUUAUUACGGA
rnacentral:lncRNA from 1 species